CUAGGUUUCAGCACGUUUUCAGUUCCUCUGAGGAUCGGAGGCAACUAUCUUGCCUCGGGUGUAGGGUGGAGCGGCAGGCUAUUUGGAUGCCGCAAGUCCCUGAAAGGUAGAGGAAUAUGGCCACGUGUAAGCUGUGGGGAUAGAAAGACAGAAAGAGAAAUAGUGGAAGUGAAAAAGAAAGGAAGCAGCAGCAACGUUUGAAGCAAGCCUAGGAAACGGAAAGCUCGCUUUCACUCAGAAUGCAACAUUAUCGAUAAAAGUCAAAGUGAAAAACACGCAAAAUGCAAUUACAGUUAAGCAAAAACCACCGAUUAAAAGGCAUAGCAACUUUUUGCAGGUAAAGGAAAGGAAACAAAGUUUAUAGCAGGCGCCGAAAAGGGUGCAGUGAAGGCGCCUUCUUCAUCUCAAAAGGCAGGGGUUUCAGAGUGUACUUGUUGCAUCUAGGCUUCUUGGGCAAAGCCUUUCAACAUGCCUAAGUUUUGGCGCAUCUCUGUCUGUACAAUGAAAGCCUCAUUAUAAUAUUUUUUUUUAAAUAAACCACAGUUGUGUCUGGCUCUCUCGCUCCCCAACCCAUCCUCUCAAUUCCCUUCUCUUCAACUGUGCGCACUAAUCUCAAAGCCUAUGGGGCUAUUUUCCAGUUUUGCUAAGGGGUGAUGCUAAGGGAAGGGUGCGCUCCAGCCCAUCUAGAUUGGUCAAGCAGCGCUUGAAAAGUGAACUUGAAACUCGCUCCUCCCCAAAAGCCGCCUCCCCAUUGGAGCGCUUCUCUCCAAGGAAAACGCGCCGGCCAAUUGGCAGCCAGGAGGGGCUAUAAAGGCGCCGAACUCCAGAAACCUGAAGCGGGCCUUGAGGAGCAAGGGCACUUUGCAAGCGAAAACCAAGUUUGUUGGAAGAGAGCGAGGCAGCGCUUUUGCAAGAUGAAAACUACCAACAGCCAAGGUAAGAAUAGAGGAUUGUUAAAACGAUUUUUAGUUCACUUGUCUUUAAAAAAUUGCUCAAAUGAAUGAUAUAAAUUAAGGGUUAUAAAUUCAACGGUUUUUAUAAAUGAAGGGUGUUUUUGUUUCUGGGUCAGGAUCAGGAUCGGGGUGUAGGGAAGGCUUUCAAAGACCCAUUUGUGGUAGCCAGGGAGGGAUUACACAGGGGCUCAAAUGUCUUCGGUUGGAAACAUUUCGCAAGAUUGGUUUGCACAUAUUUUACUUGUAAGCAGGAAGCAUUUACUGCAUUUUACUGCAUGAAGCAUUUACACACACACUUUCUGACUGUUAAAUCCCUUUCACAUAAACGGGAUUAAAUUUCCUAAUAAACGUGGUUAGGAUCAGCUGCGGAAAACGAUGGCAGGCAUAGAAAUAAGAGCGUAAACGUAUUACCAAAAAUUCUAUGGUUUGUUUUCAUUCAAGCCUUGUUCCGAGCAACCGGAGGUUUAUUUAAAGGCCACAAAGUGCGUGGAAAUCAAUGUCCUGUAAAAAGCGAAGGCUUUGCCCUUCUGCGCUCGGCCGGGUGGGUGGUCAGCGGGGCGCUUGAAAGAAUUGCCACUGAAGCCGGGGGUCGUUUUACGCAGUGUAACCUCAGGCAGCGCCCGAUUCUGGGAAGGCAGGCUAUGCAGCCCCGGGCUCCAUGUCGUGAGGAACGAUCGGCAAGCUUCAGCUUCAAGCUUAGCCCAGCGCUUCCUUCAGAUUUGCCUCUUUGUCUUUUCCCAGGAGGAAGCUACCCCAAAGUCGGAGGAGACAG